UGGGCCGCCAGUCUUAGCGACUUUUGCUGUAAAUAUCGAAAAAAUGAUGGCACAACAUUUUACGCAGCGGGAGCUGUGCACUGGGAACUGGCAACGAGGCUCCGCUGUGUGGCACACCUACCCCGAGUGUAGAAUUCCCCUUCCAAUAUAUGUACAUAUAUGUGUGUAUGCAUAUGAAGAUAUGCCAGCUACGCACACGCGAAUAACUCGCAUUCACAUUGUCCAUAUAGCCUCAUAGCCCCGCACUCCGUAGGCCCUAGGGAUUUAAGAAACGCAUACAAGAGAAAUGAGGCAAGAGCUGAAAACUGAAGGGCAUACAUUGAGAAUACAAGAACGCGCGCCCCGCCAGGCGGCAGAUGGCCAGGAACGGACCGUGGACGGACCACAAGUUGCUGCUUGUUGUUGUUGAUAACUUAAAUGCCACAUUUAGAUACAAAAUUUCAGUAACGGCGGCGCAUAAAUCAAGCGGCAAGAUCACCAGAGGCUGGCCCCAGUCUCGGCGGAAGCAGGGGGCGUUGCUGGAGACGAAAAACGAGAAGACGAAGUCGAGCCGCGCCGGUCGGGAACCAGGAACAGGGAACCCAUGGAAACUGGAAAUGGUAAUGCAACUGCAACACGAUCGCCAGUCGGCGGAGAGGGGGGCACAGCAACGGAAGUGGGACGUAGGGCAGACUCUUUAUAAGAGAGAAGUGCUAUUCAAAUGUGUCCCCUCCUCCAAGACAAAUGGAGCAAAGGGGUGCUGGUAGCCGCUUAGUCAGAGCUCUUUAUCAUCAUUCGUCGCCCUCGUCGACGUCAUUUGACACUUUUCUGACAUUUUUAUCAUUUAAGUCACAUUCAGUUUUUGUUUAUUCUCGAUCAGACAAACAAAGAACCGACUUUAGCUGCCUUAUGACAGCUUUUCAGGGCCUUACCUCCA
rnacentral:misc_RNA from 1 species